rnacentral:lncRNA from 1 species
GAAGGAAAGAAAGAGAAGAAGAAGGAGAAGAAGAAGAAGAAGAGGACCAUCUUCUUCCCUCUCUCCUUCAAACAAGAGCAAGCUUGGAGAAGCUUUUGGAGGUAAACCUCAAGCCCUACAAUGGUAGAUUUCUUGCUAUAGGGUUUUAUUGCUUGGAAUUGGUUCGAAUGGAACCUAGAGGAGAUAAGGAGAUGGUUCGGGCUCGCAAUCGAAGCUCGCACCGCGGAUUUCUUCCCCGUUGCCAUUCUAGGGCACGGAUUUGGGGAUUUUGGAAAUCUAGGGUUUUGAUCUACUUUGAAUGGUCAGAAACCUAAUUGCUAUGUCUCCGAACGCGUAGGAAGCGACGGUUCGUCGAUCCGUUGAGCGGGUGCGACGUUCCGGCUGAAGCAAGUGCUCGAGGGUUCGUUUUGGCCGAGGAGCCGAGGCGGCGCGCGAGGACCGCAAAGACAAGUUUACUAACCUUGCGGCGUUGCCAGAAGGUGGGUGGUGUCCAUCCCAAAGCAACCGGGCCCCCUUCUAUGUCUUAGUACAUUUUGAUUCAUGCAUCUUGUGUUAUUGCAUUAUAGGAUAAUUGUGCAUUUGCCUUUCCUUAUGCUUUCCUUGAUGAUAUCGUAGCAUGUACAGGAUACUUGAUAUAGUGGAUUGAUAAGGAUUGGGUCGAGACUUGUGAAUCCUAUAGUGCAGAGAAAAAGAUGGGCUCGACGGUUGGUCUAAUGUUAAACAAAUAACUAGUGGCAUCUAGUUGAUAAUGAGCAAAAGAAUGAGUGGCAUCUAGUUGAUAGUAAAUAAAUGAACGCGUGGCAUCUAUG